rnacentral:rRNA from 1 species
GGUGAGUAACACGUGGGUAACCUGCCUGUAAGACUGGGAUAACUCCGGGAAACCGGGGCUAAUACCGGAUGGUUGUUUGAACCGCAUGGUUCAAACAUAAAAGGUGGCUUCGGCUACCACUUACAGAUGGACCCGCGGCGCAUUAGCUAGUUGGUGAGGUAACGGCUCACCAAGGCAACGAUGCGUAGCCGACCUGAGAGGGUGAUCGGCCACACUGGGACUGAGACACGGCCCAGACUCCUACGGGAGGCAGCAGUAGGGAAUCUUCCGCAAUGGACGAAAGUCUGACGGAGCAACGCCGCGUGAGUGAUGAAGGUUUUCGGAUCGUAAAGCUCUGUUGUUAGGGAAGAACAAGUACCGUUCGAAUAGGGCGGUACCUUGACGGUACCUAACCAGAAAGCCACGGCUAACUACGUGCCAGCAGCCGCGGUAAUACGUAGGUGGCAAGCGUUGUCCGGAAUUAUUGGGCGUAAAGGGCUCGCAGGCGGUUUCUUAAGUCUGAUGUGAAAGCCCCCGGCUCAACCGGGGAGGGUCAUUGGAAACUGGGGAACUUGAGUGCAGAAGANGAGAGUGGAAUUCCACGUGUAGCGGUGAAAUGCGUAGAGAUGUGGAGGAACACCAGUGCGAAGCGACUCUCUGGUCUGUAACUGACGCUGAGGAGCGAAAGCGUGGGGAGCGAACAGGAUUAGAUACCCUGGUAGUCCACGCC